UUGUCAUUCCCACCCAUUUCCUUUCCUUUCUCUCUCGGGAACGGGGUGUUACAUCCCAAAAUAAACCUUAAUCUUCCGUUCGUUCGUCUUAGUGGCUAUAGAGGGAGUUGCUCGAGUUUUUGUGUAGGGCUGUCAGAUUUUUGAGUCACCGUCGAGGGAGAAGACGAAAGAGGACCUCAAGACAAACUUUGCUCCAGCCUAAGUUAGGCGUUCAUGUCUCUUGCAGCAAAAUUCCCAUUUAAAAGAAGCACAGAUGAGACACAUUGCCAAAAUGGGACCCGCAAACUGGUUGAAGACCCGAUUGAAUCCAUUGUGGAAAAACACAACAUAACAUCAGAAUCAGUGAUUCUAUCUCAAGAUUCCCUUGAUUCUUGUACAAUUCAAGCUGUUGAUGAAAUUAGAAUCAAAUACUAACACAUCCAAUUCUGUUUCUUUAGAAAAUGAUUUGAAUCCUCAAGAUAAUAACAGACUUAACAACCAACCAUUGGGCAAUAAGAUUCUUGGCAAGGAAACACUUAAAAAGAAUAAGGUUUGGUGAUAAACGUGGCUGAGUUGAUCAAAGGUUUUUUGUUUUUGACAGAAUUCGAAGAAGUUUUUGACAUUGUAUCACACAUGACCUUUUAAUAUAUUUCAUAGGCUUAUAGUUUUUUGUUUUUAGGUGGUUGGAAUUGAAAUGAAUGCUUCUGCAGUAGCUGAUGCAAAUAGGAAUUCUGAAAUCAAUGGAAUAAAAAUCUGCAGAUUUGUCUGUUCAAAAGCAGAAGAUGUUAUGGGGUCGCUAUUAAAAGAGUACUUAACAAAAAAACUAGACUCCAGAAUCAAUGAUUCCGAUGUUGGUAUCAAAGAAGAUGAGAAAAAGGAUAUCAAAGAAGUUAUAAAGGAAGAAGAGAAUAAUUUUGUUAAUGAAAUCGAUGUUGGGCUACUUUUUUUUUAUUUAAUCGUGAUAAAAUCAAUUAAGCCAAAAAAAAACCUAACUUAAUGUAGUACGACAUUAACCCGUUUAAUUAUUUAUCCGUAAUAUUGAUGAAUACCGUUAGAAAUGACAAAUGCUUUAGAAAGGAAAUUAUAAUGUUAGUGUAAAAUGAGCAUUUAGAACUUAACAGAUGAAAAAAAACAAAAAUAGCCAGCUAUAAAAUAUAUAUAUAUAU